GAUGAAGAACGUAGCGAAAUGCGAUAAGUAAUGUGAAUUGCAGAAUUCAGUGAAUCAUCGAAUCUUUGAACACACAUUGCGCCCAUUAGUAUUCUAGUGGGCAUGCCUGUUCGAGCGUCAUUUCAACCCUUAAGCCUAGCUUAGUGUUGGGAGACUGCCUAAUACGCAGCUCCUCAAAACCAGUGGCGGAGUCUGUUCGUGCUCUGAGCGUAGUAAUUUUUUAUCUCGCUUCUGCAAGCCGGCCAGACGACAGCCAUAAACCGCACCCUCUCGGGGGGCACUUUUUUAAUGGUUGACCUCGGAUCAGGUAGGAAUACCCGCUGAACUUAAGCAUAUCAAUAAGCGGAGGA
rnacentral:misc_RNA from 1 species